CAACCCUCAAGCUCUGCUUGGUGUUGGGGCCCUACGGUUGACGUAGGCCCUCAAAGGUAGUGGCGGACCCUCCCGGAGCCUCCUUUGCGUAGUAACUAACGUCUCGCACUGGGAUUCGGAGGGAUUCUAGCCGUAAAACCCCCAAUUUUUUAA
rnacentral:misc_RNA from 1 species